GAGGGGAACCGGAGCUCGGGCAGGGGUACGGAGUGGGGUCUUGGGCUGAAGCGGAUAGGCGCUGUUAGAGGAAGUGGGCUCGAACCUGGAGGAGGAGCCUCAGACACACUCGUAGCCUGAGGAGGACAUUGUAGACCAGAGGAGCUGCAGCAAGCCCGACAAGCCCUCGUUAGAGGCAGUCAGAAGAAUCUAACAGUGUCAACAACUUAAUCCUGGACUUUCUGACCCUACAACCGUGAGGAGCUCAUUGCUGCUGUCUAAGCCGCCCAGCCUUCUGGUGCUUUGUUUUGUCAACCUUAACAAGUCAAUCCAGACAUGGCUGGAGAUGUGUGAUGUGGUGCUUUCUGGUAACCCUGGGCAGCCUGAAGUCAUCAAGCAAAGAGGAAGCUCUGCAGUGUCCUGUGAUACCAAGCUGACAGCUUUGACAGCUGAUGUGCCAAAAUGCUGUUUUCUCCUUUAUUGAGACAGGGACUCACUGUAUACUCCAGUCCUUGAACUUACAACCCUCCUGUUUCCACCUCCUACAUGCUAAAAUCACAUGACUAUAUCAUUAUACCUCCCCCUCCCCCGCUUUAUAGUGGAAACCAUUUUAUUUA